UUCUUUUUUUAAAAUCCUUUCUUUUUGGAACAUGAUUUCAUUAUGUUGCCCUGGCUGUCACUCAGAGAUCUUCCAACUCUGCCUCCCCAGUGCCACCAAGACUGGCCUUAGGAAUACCUUUUAUAGCCAAUGUGUUGGCUCACACCUUUAAUCACAACACUCUGGAAGCAGAAGCUAGGGAUCUCUGAAUUCAAGGCCAGUCUAGUGUUCAGAGCAAGUUCCAGGACUGCCAGGGCUACAGAGAAAGAAACCCUGUCUCACACAAACAAAACAAAAUAACAAAAAGAAGAAGAGGAGGAGGAGGAGGGGGGGGAGGAGGAAGAAGAGGAGGGGGAGGAGGAGGGGGAGGGGGAGGGGAGGAGGAGGAGGAGGAGGAGGAGGAGGAGGGAAGACCUUUUAUGCUCAGUAUAGUGGAGCAAGCCUAUAAUCCCAACAUUCAAGAAUACUCUGAUAGCUAAGCAUAGUGGUACAUGUCUUUAAUCCUAGUACAUGGAAGGAAUAAGCAGGGGGAUCUCUGUGAUAUUAAGGCCAGUCUGCUCUACACAUCAAGUUCCACACCAGGCAAGGCUACAUAAAUAAAUAAAUUUGAAAACCUCAUGUUUUAUUGAACUAAAAUAAGAAACUAUUAUAUUUGUAUUUCAACAUUUUGGAAUGACUAGAAAGUCUGGCAUUGGAAAUCAGACAUAAUUGAGAGUUUGUUUUUGUUUGGUUGGGGUUUUUUCCUAGGUCAUAGUUAUUUAAUUUCUAUUUGUUCUUUUACAGGGUAGAGAAAGAAACCUCCAGUUACAAUACUAAUUCUGUGGAUUACACAUUCCUUUUCUUUUUUCUUUUUUCAAGAUAGGGUUUCUCUGUGCAGCCCUCACUAUCCUGGAAUGUGCUGUGUAGAACAGGCUGGCCUCAAACUCACAAAAGAUCCAUGUGCCUGUGCCUGUGCCUAGGCCUCUGCUUCCUGAGUGCUGGGAUCAAAGGUGUGUACCACUAUAGCUGGCCACAUCAGAGUAUUCUUAUAUACCAAGUCUGGUAAUUAUACACUGGUUCUGAGGAUUGCAUGUCCUUACUUUAAUUAUUUACUUUUUGGCUUAAAGGUAUGGGCCACCAGGCUCUGAAGAGUGUCUCGUAUAAAUCUGGUUAGCCUCAAUCACUACCUAGAGGUUAGAGAGAUGGCUCAGUGCUGUAGAGUAUAUACUGCUCUUCCAGAAGACCCAAGUUCACUUCCCAGCAUGUACAUCAUGCAGUUCACAACCUUCUGUAAUUCCAGGGGAUUCAAUGUCCUCUUCUGAACUCUGUGGACAACUACACUCAUGUGCACAUGCAUACACAAAAUUAAAAAUAAAAAUAAAAUAUUCAAAACACUUCGCUAAGGGAGCUGGGGAUGAUGUCGAGCUCUUGAUCUUGCCUCUUCCGCUUAGCGCUGGGGCUACAGGGGUUUGUGCACACAACACCUUGGUGAGGCCUUGACACUUCAAAUCCAAUGGACCUCAUGGGGAAAUAAGACAGAAAAAGUCCCUUUAAAACAAAUCUAAUAAUAACUUCAAAAUCUAAUAGGAAGACAGAGUGAGAGCUUGUCUCAAAACACUAAAACCAAAAAACAAAAACCAGUUAACUUGACAAGAUCAACCCACUGUUAGCUCUUGGUUCUUCUUUCUUCCACUUUAAUACCAAACCAAACUCUUCUCGCCUCAGAGGGACAUUUGCUUUAUUUUAUGACUUGUCUGAUUCUAAAAUCAAUAAUAAAGCCAAUUAAGAUCAUUAAAGAAUAAAAUGAAAAAAAAAAUGGCUGUCUCUGGGUUUCCUAAAGAUAAACAAUGCUUUUACUGUUAAAAAAAAAAAAAAAAAAAAGAUCUUUUUCUUUUUCUAAAAUCAAGAAUGGCAAGAAAAUAUCAAAAAGGAUAUUAAAUUUUCAGCCUUUCCUGAAUAUCCUGUGUGACUACAUAAUAUUUUUUAAUUUAAUUUAUUCUAUAUAUGUGAGUACACUGUAGCUGUCUUCAGACACACCAGAAGAGGGCAUCAGAUCCCAUUACAGAUGGUUGUGAGCCACCAUGUGGUUUCUGGGAUUUGAACUCAGGACCUCUAGAAGAGCAGACAGUGCUCUUAACCACUGGGCCAUCUCUCAAGCCCACUACACAGUAUUUUUAGCCCUCAUUAUUAUGUACUUGCAGGUGUUAUAAAGACGAAGGACAAGGCCCCACUCUCGAUGAGCCUGUAAUCGCGUAGGUGAAAGAAAAUGUAAAUAAAAAUUGCUCUGAACACUGGCAAUUUGGUCCUGGAUUCAAUCCUCAGAACUGAAGAGAAGAGGGGGCACUAUAAAGUGGUAUAUAUACUGUGCAAUUGACACGUACACCACUUAAUAUAAAGUGGUAUAUGUACUGUGCAAUAGAAAAAUACUCAUCUUAAGACCAUUUGAGGAAUGGAAUGAAAGGAAAUAAUGUGCUAAAAAGAAGUCACUUGAUGAGCAAUAAAUAAGUAAAAAUAAAUCAACCUGUGGUGUGAUGGCAGUGGUGUCAGCGGCACACACUUCUAGUCCCAGCACUCAGGAGACAGAGGCAGGCGGAUCUUUGUAAGUUCGAGGCCAGCUUGGUCUAGCUAAACUCAAAAAAUUUAAAAAAAUGAAAAAUCGAUCUAACAUAUUAGUUCUGAGGCAUUUCCCAGUCCUGGCAGAGCUCCUUGGCUACCUGCUUGCACUGUCUCACUAGAAUUUUGAAAACACCCUGUUGCAGUUCCCAAGAUAUUACCACUAUUUGUAAUUAUUUUUUAAAUGGUACUUUUAAAAUUUUUUACCCAUUCUGAGUUUAUCUAAAAUUAAUAAGAGUAUAAUCUAGAGCCAAACACAAACAAACAAAAACACCAUUUCCAUUUCCACAAAAGAAAAGUCAAGGACUUUUUUAAAAAUCAGGUCUUGGGGCUGGAGAGAGCACUGGCUACUCUUUCAGAGGACCUGGGUUCAAUUCUGAGCACUGACAUGGCAGCUCACUGCUAUCCAUAAUCCAGUUCCAAGUGACUUGACACCCUCACACAGACAUAUAUGCAGGCAAAAACACCAAUGCAAAUAAAAUAAAAAUAAACCAUAAAAAAGGGUCUUUAAAAAAAAUUAAACGAAUGUUAGUUUGUCAAAAUAGACUGUCUUCCCAACCGAUUGCGCUAGCAAAUGUAGGCCUCUGAACAAAGGCAAGAGAGUGUGAAAUGGGUUAUUACCAACACGCCUCACCUUUUCCUCUUUCAUUUAUUUUAUCUUUUUAAGGUACAACCAGAUUAUGGCCAUAUUUAAGCACAACCUACGUUUGGAUAAGAGCAGUGCCAAGGAGAGCAAGAGCCCAACCCGUAGGGUUCUUAAUCUCAUCUAGUCCGUGUUUCCACAGCUGGAAUAUGGGGGUGGAAAGUUACAAGAGUGCUAGGCUUCUCCUUUACUGAAACCCCUCAAAUGAUAACGCAAGCUACUCCUUUUGGGGAAUUUAAGGUCACGAGCUUUAAAAAGGGACAAUGGAACUCCAAUGUGGGCUUCAGAAAGAUGGAGAUUGUCAGAUGAGGUGGGGGCAGGGAAAUGGGGACAAGGGGAAGAGCUUAGCCUGGGAAUUCAAAAUAGGGAGGUCAAGGCCAGGGACUUACGGAGCUAAAAGGGGGACAGAUCUUUCAGGAUCUGUCCAAGUAGGCCCGUCACAGCAGUCUGAAAGCCUGAAGGGCUCCUUUGAGAAUGUGGGGCACCUAUUUUACCAGCGUUACCUCCCCUCUGCUUGAGAACGGAGACAACCACCUAAGAAUCCUCCCCCAAUUGGCUUUCCUUGCCCUUGAAAACAACUGACCCUCAAGGAAAAGAAAAUGCAAAAGCGUCCUAAGAGUAGAAGGGCCUGGGGCAAGCUGUCCUGCAAUUAUCCAGUGGGGAGCCUAACCCAGUUCGAGGAACUUUAAUAUUCAUUGAAAUGGAGCGGCACGGAGCCCUCCCCCCACCCCCGGAAGUCUCCAGGCAAAGAAGCUCCAAGCCAGGGGUCCCACGGCUGCCGGGAUGGGCGGGCGACGGCCUGGGGCGCGGUCUCCGGCCCGGGGAGGCCAGCCCGCAGGCCUGAAAUACCAAAGUUAAGUAUCCCAGAAGGAUCUCAACAAACCGGAGUGCCACAGCUAGUCUCCCAGGACUGAAGCCGAGAAAGAACCAGAGGAAAGAAAUGCUUCAUGAAGCCAGCAAAUCAAGAUCUAGAGCUUGGAACUGGAGAGAAUGACUCAGAGUGCUUGCUGCUCUCUGAUAGACUUCGUUCCGAGCAACCACUCCAGACAGUUCUCACCAUGGAAAACUCCAGCUCCGGAAGAUCCAACACCCUCUUCUAACUUCUUCUUAUGCAGACAUAAACAUAAAUAAAACCUUAAGCUGGGUAGUAGUAGCCCACACCUUUGAUCCCAGCACUUGGAAGGCAGAACAGCCUGGUCUACAGGACAAGCUCCUGAACAGAUAGGCUACACAGGAAAACCCUGUCUCAAAAAGCCAAUGAACUAUAUAAAUAAAAUCUUAAAAAAUAAAA